rnacentral:rRNA from 1 species
UACGAAGGGAGCUAGCGUUGUUCGGAAUUACUGGGCGUAAAGCGCACGUAGGCGGAUUGCUAAGUCAGGGGUGAAAUCGCGGGGCUCAACCUCGGAACUGCCUUUGAUACUGGCAAUCUCGAGUCCGGAAGAGGUGAGUGGAAUUCCUAGUGUAGAGGUGAAAUUCGUAGAUAUUAGGAAGAACACCAGUGGCGAAGGCGGCUCACUGGUCCGGUACUGACGCUGAGGGACGAAAGCGUGGGGAGCGAACGGG